rnacentral:rRNA from 1 species
GACGGAGGUCCCAAGCGUUGUUCGGAAUCACUGGGCUUAAAGCGCGUGUAGGCGGAUUGGCACGUACCUUGUGAAAUCCCCUGGCUCAACCAGGGAACUGCUCGGUAUACGGCCGAUCUCGAGGCAGGUAGAGGUGCCUGGAACCUUAGGUGGAGCGGUGAAAUGCGUAGAUAUCUAAGGGAACGCCGGUGGCGAAAGCGGGGCACUGGGCCUGUCCUGACGCUAAGACGCGAAAGCGUAGGGAGCAAACGGG